rnacentral:tRNA from 1 species
AGGAAAAUAGUUUAAAAAAAACAUUUGAUUUGCAUUCAAAAAAUAUUAAAAAUUUAAUUUUUCUU